AUUGAACGCUGGCGGCAGGCCUAACACAUGCAAGUCGAACGGUAACAGGAAGACGCUUGCUUCUUUGCUGACGAGUGGCGGACGGGUGAGUAAUGUCUGGGAAACUGCCUGAUGGAGGGGGAUAACUACUGGAAACGGUAGCUAAUACCGCAUAACGUCGCAAGACCAAAGAGGGGGACCUUCGGGCCUCUUGCCAUCGGAUGUGCCCAGAUGGGAUUAGCUAGUAGGUGGGGUAACGGCUCACCUAGGCGACGAUCCCUAGCUGGUCUGAGAGGAUGACCAGCCACACUGGAACUGAGACACGGUCCAGACUCCUACGGGAGGCGGCAGUGGGGAAUAUUGCACAAUGGGCGCAAGCCUGAUGCAGCCAUGCCGCGUGUAUGAAGAAGGCCUUCGGGUUGUAAAGUACUUUCAGCGGGGAGGAAGGGAGUAAAGUUAAUACCUUUGCUCAUUGACGUUACCCGCAGAAGAAGCACCGGCUAACUCCGUG
rnacentral:rRNA from 1 species